GUAGGCCUCAAAUAAUGUGUGACUACCCCCUAAAUUUAAGCAUAGUCGACACAU
rnacentral:rRNA from 1 species